UGUAGAGAAGCUGUUCCGUGAAUUAAAACCCUUGAUUGUGCCGGCUCGAUUUAAGUGAUUGUUCAACUUCAAUCACUCUUCUGCAUUCGUUCAUAAUGAUAAUUUCUUUGAGGGCUUUUCUUUGUUAAAAAAAAAAGGUGUUUUUAUGACCCGCAAAGUGAUGAGUCCAUAAAUUAUCAUUCUCUCAUCUGUACCCAGGCGCAGCACAUGAACCUCUCUUCAUAUCAAUCUCUUCCUCCUUUACAAGACACCACACUGUCAAAAGUGCCUGAGGAGACGCAAGCUCUGCCGAUGGAGGAAGAGCCCCAGCUGAGAUGGGGUUAAUAUUUAUCCAUCCUAAAAGUUCUGCAGGGACUUCUGCGAUUUGUCACCCCAGUGGUAAGGCCCGGCGUCAGGAAUACAGUUAAUGGUUAGACGCACGCCUCCCUCCGCACGCCGACAAAGGAAGGUCCGCCUCAGCCAGGAAGCGCCGUGGAGGAACAGGGAUCCUGUCACUAUCUGUCUCCUCAAAAAGAUGGCAGUUCCUGACCAGUUAAUGGUUAACAGACAUGUGGACGUGUCAAUCUUCGGGAGUGACAGGGAGCAUAAACGCACAAACCCGCAGACGGUGGGAGCCCAGUGCUGAUGCUGUAAACAUAUCUUGUUAACAGGAAGCAGACCCUAUGCCGCAGCAGCACUGAGUGACAGGAUCACAGAUGACUAACAACAGCAGCACUCACUCCUUUUCUUUCCCCCUCUGCUGUUUUUACCUGAGACCUUUUUUGCUGCUAGGUCUUUAAAACAUGUUUUGCGGUCAUUAAAAAUCAGAGGAGAAAUGA